UGAGGGUGCGCUGACAAUGAAUGGUUAUGAACCCCGCCAGAUCCGGAAGGAAGCAACGGUAAUAAUUUUUUCAUGUGCUGGCUGUUAUUCUUGGUG
rnacentral:SRP_RNA from 1 species